rnacentral:rRNA from 1 species
UGGCGGACGGGUGAGUAACACGUGGGUAACCUGCCUAAAAGAAGGGGAUAACACUUGGAAACAGGUGCUAAUACCGUAUAUCUCUAAGGAUCGCAUGAUUCUUAGAUGAAAGAUGGUUCUGCUAUCGCUUUUAGAUGGACCCGCGGCGUAUUAACUAGUUGGUGGGGUAACGGCCUACCAAGGUGAUGAUACGUAGCCGAACUGAUAGGUUGAUCGGCCACAUUGGGACUGAGACACGGCCCAAACUCCUACGGGAGGCAGCAGUAGGGAAUCUUCCACAAUGGACGCAAGUCUGAUGGAGCAACGCCGCGUGAGUGAAGAAGGUCUUCGGAUCGUAAAACUCUGUUGUUAGAGAAGAACACGAGUGAGAGUAACUGUUCAUUCGAUGACGGUAUCUAACCAGCAAGUCACGGCUAACUACGUGCCAGCAGCCGCGGUAAUACGUAGGUGGCAAGCGUUGUCCGGAUUUAUUGGGCGUAAAGGGAACGCAGGCGGUCUUUUAAGUCUGAUGUGAAAGCCUUCGGCUUAACCGGAGUAGUGCAUUGGAAACUGGAAGACUUGAGUGCA